rnacentral:rRNA from 1 species
GAUGAACGCUGGCGGCGUGCCUAAUACAUGCAAGUCGAGCGAACAGACGAGGAGCUUGCUCCUCCGACGUUAGCGGCGGACGGGUGGGUAACACGUGGAUAACCUACCUAUAAGACUGGGAUAACUUCGGGAAACCGGAGCUAAUACCGGAUAAUAUAUUGAACCGCAUGGUUCAAUAGUGAAAGACGGUUUUGCUGUCACUUAUAGAUGGAUCCGCGCCGCAUUAGCUAGUUGGUAAGGUAACGGCUUACCAAGGCAACGAUGCGUAGCCGACCUGAGAGGGUGAUCGGCCACACUGGAACUGAGACACGGUCCAGACUCCUACGGGAGGCAGCAGUAGGGAAUCUUCCGCAAUGGGCGAAAGCCUGACGGAGCAACGCCGCGUGAGUGAUGAAGGUCUUCGGAUCGUAAAACUCUGUUAUUAGGGAAGAACAAAUGUGUAAGUAACUAUGCACGUCUUGACGGUACCUAAUCAGAAAGCCACGGCUAACUACGUG